rnacentral:rRNA from 1 species
GUGAACGCUGGCGGUAGGCCUAACACAUGCAAGUCGAACGGCAGCACCGUAAGAGCUUGCUCUUACGGGUGGCGAGUGGCGGACGGGUGAGGAAUACAUCGGAAUCUACUUUUUCGUGGGGGAUGACGUAGGGAAACUUACGCUAAUACCGCAUACGACCUACGGGUGAAAGCAGGGGAUCUUCGGACCUUGCGCGAUUGAAUGAGCCGAUGUCGGAUUAGCUAGUUGGCGGGGUAAAGGCCCACCAAGGCGACGAUCCGUAGCUGGUCUGAGAGGAUGAUCAGCCACACUGGAACUGAGACACGGUCCAGACUCCUACGGGAGGCAGCAGUGGGGAAUAUUGGACAAUGGGCGCAAGCCUGAUCCAGCCAUACCGCGUGGGUGAAGAAGGCCUUCGGGUUGUAAAGCCCUUUUGUUGGGAAAGAAAAGCAGCAGGUUAAUACCCCGCUGUUCUGACGGUACCCAAAGAAUAAGCACCGGCUAACUUCGUG